rnacentral:pre_miRNA from 1 species
GUGAAAAUCAUCUGGAGAUUCUACUAACAUGCAGAUUCUGUCUCAGGAGGUCUGGGACAAGAGUUUGCAUUUCUAAUAAGCUCUUAGGUGGUGUCAAU